rnacentral:rRNA from 1 species
UACGGAGGGGGGCUAGCGUUGUUCGGAAUUACUGGGCGUAAAGCGCGCGUAGGCGGCUUUGUAAGUUAGAGGUGAAAGCCCGGGGCUCAACCCCGGAAUUGCCUUUAAGACUGCAUCGCUUGAAUCCGGGAGAGGUGAGUGGAAUUCCGAGUGUAGAGGUGAAAUUCGUAGAUAUUCGGAAGAACACCAGUGGGCGAAGGCGGCUCACUGGACCGGCAUUGACGCUGAGGUGCGAAGGCGUGGGGGAGCAAACAGG